rnacentral:rRNA from 1 species
UUUAAUUCGACGCAACGCGAAGAACCUUACCAGGUCUUGACAUUGAUGGACAGAACUAGAGAUAGCUCCUCUUCCUCGGAAGCCAGAAAACAGGUGGUGCACGGUUGUCGUCAGCUCGUGUCGUGAGAUGUUGGGUUAAGUCCCGCAACGAGCGCAACCCCUAUCUUAUGUUGCCAGCACUUUGGGUGGGGACUCAUGAGAGACUGCCGCAGACAAUGCGGAGGAAGGCGGGGAUGACGUCAAAUCAUCAUGCCCCUUAUGACCUGGGCUACACACGUACUACAAUGGGAGUUAAUAGACGGAAGCGAGAUCGCGAGAUGGAGCAAACCCGAGAAACACUCUCUCAGUUCGGAUCGUAGGCUGCAACUCGCCUACGUGAAGUCGGAAUCGCUAGUAAUCGCAGGUCAGCAUACUG